AAAGCCCCAGACGGUGGUUGGCGGCGGCGGGUUCUUCUGCAUGCCAUUUGUGCUCCCACGCAUAAUUGCCCCUACGCGGAUCUCACUUCACCGCGCUGGGUAUGCUCUGCCGCCGGCUCGGCCUGCCUCCCCAGCCAUGGAACUUCUCAUCGUGGGCCGUUGGACACCUUGGCUUCGGUCCUUAGUGUUGUUUCUGGUGGAGGUAGGUGUGCCUGCUUCACGUCCAGGACGGAGCGUCGAGCGUGGCGGCGCGGUGCGGGCUCAGGGCUUGGCCCUGGCGGCGUGGUGGCUGUGUGGAACGGGCUAGGCGCGCCCAGGGCAGCGGCGGGGCUCUGCCAGAUCAAUUAUGGCCUACUUCGGUUGGUGUGCCUUGGGCGGCGCGGGACUGUGGCAGUGCGGGUCGGCCAUGUCCAAUGGAUGGCUUGAGGUUGUCGUGGUGGGGUGACGGUGUCGGCUGCUAGGCACCACGGUGGUGCUGACGCCUGGCCUGACGGAGACAGGCAGGCUGGAUCAGUGCGGCGUGGGGGCCUACUACCGUGAUUUGACCAAGGUGGCGGUCCUUGUGCUCUUCUCGCAUCACGACAACGACAUGCAAGAUCAGUCCUCCUUGAUCUGGCCAUUGACGUGUUCCGGGACGACCGUCGGAGAUCUUGCCCAUGAUUUCUAGAUCGGUUAGAUUCCAGUCGUGCAUGCCCAUAUCAGCCUAUGAGGUUCUGAGGGCGUGGCAUGAAGCUCUGUUGGACACCUUGGGAUAUGUCGGCUUCUCGAUUUCCAUGGUGAAGACAGCGAUGGAGAAGGUCAUGGCGGCCAAGAUCGGAGAAUCAGUUAGACAGUCGGAGCCUUGGAGGCAAUGGAGUCAGCCUGGUGUCAGAUAACUCUCAGGAGCAGCAGUGAUAAGUGGGGGCGGCAACACUGGCGGUUUUCAUUUUUGGGGUCUCCUCAGGUGCCGAGCCGUGACUUUCAAGGUGAAAACCUGAGGUCUGACCUUCAUUGGUCGUGCCUGGCUAUUACCUUGUUCAAGGAAUUGUUUUGAGAGCGUGGACUUUCUCCGGGGUUAAAACCCAAGAUCUUUGAUCCUGCAACAACGACGCUUGUGCAGUGUUCCCUUCUUGGAGGCAUUACUUUUGGAGACCUUUUAUGUUUUUUGGGUGUUGUAUUAGGUGGUGGAAGGUGUGCUGCUGUUGAGAGGAGUCGAUCGCUAUGGCGGGACCUUUCUUUUUUUAUUUUCUUGUUUGGUUGUGUGUAUCCUGGAUGUCCUUGUGACAUCUUGUAGGUGUAGAGGCUGGAUGUAAUUGGUAUCUUCGCAAUAUUAAUAUAUUCCCCCCUUUCAAAAAAAAGGCUAGGGUGGAAACAGAUACUUUUCUCUAAUUUAUCAAUAAAACUCGCCUAUUAUUACAUUUUUCCACGGCGGUUUAUUUUCCCUUUGUAUGAUGUCUAACUCAUGGUAUACUUGUGGGAUAUCUUCUGUUUAGCGCGUUAAUACAUGUACCUUGUAAGUCCAGUAUCCCCUCUCCUAUUCUUCAAGACACCUUGAUUACCAUUUAGAUAUAGACUCGUACUUGCCAACAUUUGUUCUGCUUCACCGCUGGCUUCUUAGAGAUAGACUCGUAUGCUUUUACCGAAGGAACAUUACUUGUUACUUCUAUGACCUCUGAGGAUACUGACUAUGAAGUUUCGAAUUGUUGCUCAAGCCCACCAUGUUGCUGUUGUUUAUCUGGUUUUGGUGGAGAGGAAAAAUUGUGGCUGCCUAUCCCAUGUCUCUUGCCCUUAUCGGUGGCACCGCUAGCAGUUGCCACAUGAAUUCAAUUAUUCUGUAGUUUCAUCACUAACAAAGCUUUCAUCCUUGACAUACAAAGUGUAUAUUUUAUGACAUUUGACAUGGAAAUACCACCUUGGCUAAGAGAUCGUGCCAUUCAUUCUGAGAUCUGCUGCAUUGUAUGAUAUUCGAUGUUCACAACAUUUAUUUUAACUCUUGUACGUAAUUGCUGUUUCUGUAGAUCAUUUUUAGCACGACUGGUGGAAUCAACACUAGGUCACUAGUAGCACCCUUUUUUUUCCAUCCCUUUUUAGCUCAGUUAUAUGAUUGCCUGAUAUUUUUCUGUUCUUUUCUCAGAUACCGUGCUAUUACGAGUGCCUAUUAUAGAGGAGCAGUAGGUGCGUUGCUGGUGUAUGAUGUCACUCGCCGUGCUACAUUCGACAAUGUGGCGCGCUGGCUAAAAGAGCUAAGAGAUCAUACUGACCCUAGCAUUGUUGUCAUGCUAGUUGGCAACAAAUCUGACCUUCGCCACUUGGUGGCUGUUUCAACUGAAGAUGGGCAGGAAUAUGCUGAGGCGGAGUCACUGUACUUCAUGGAAACAUCUGCAUUAGACGCGACAAAUGUAGACAACGCUUUCUCAGAAGUUUUGACUCAGAUAUACCGUAUUGCGAGCAGGAAGACGGUUGAUGCAGGAGACGACGGCUCAUCUGCCCCAAGCAAAGGGGAGAAUAUAAAUGUGAAAGACGACGUGUCUUCGCUGAAGAGAGCCGGCUGCUGCUCAAGUUAGGGUAUAGAUGCAUUAUUAUUUGUUACGUUUUCUACCAGUUGGUGUAUCUUGUAUUGCAACAAAACAGAUUUACUGAUUCUCUCAUUUUGCUGCGGUUAUGGUGAUGGUUAGGUUGGUUCAGCUUUCACCUGAAACUGGUAUGUCAGAUUGAUUAUGAUAUUCUGCAAGUAAUUUGUUUACAGUAGGAUCUGAGCAAUAUCUCACUGUUUAUUUUUAUUGGAAUCAUGUAGGAAUACUGCAUGUUAGUAAGAUAAAAAUACUCCCUCCGUUUCUAAAUAUUAGUCUUUUUCGAAAUUUCAUUAGGUGACUACAUAUGAAUGUAUAUAAACAUACUUUAGAGUAUAAAUUUACUCAUUUUGUUUCAUAUGUAGUCCUCUAGAGAAAUCUCUAAAAAGACUUAUAUUUAGAAACGGAGGGAGUAGAAAGUACCAGCAGGCUAAGAAUCCUGCAUAAGUACAGAAAACACACUAAAAAGGACCUCGGAACUGAACACGCAAAAUUGAACAUUUCCAUCACUAGCAGUGGCCCAUUGGUGAGCAUCGUCAUUCAUUUGCAAUUGGUGUCUGUUCAAACUUAAGCUGUGUUUGAUUGAGUUGCAGAUUCUGUAAAAGUUGUGGGAAGCUGUGAGUUUCAGCUGUGGACAAGUUGAAAGCUGUUUGACUGAUACAACCGUGAAACUGUAGAUUUGACUGUGAAUUGUCUGUAAUGAUCCUGAGUUGGGAGUCAAUAUUUUUAUGUUCAUAUAUGAAUUCAGAGCUAACACAUGAAUUCAACAAUUAUACUUUCAUGUUGCAUAUUACAUAUAAAUAGAUAUUGACCCUACUGUGAAUAGUAUCCAUGAAAAGAGAGAAAUUUUUGGAAGAGGAUGGAUAGGGAUGAGUGAUGGAGGGUGGAGGGAGGGGAGAGGAGGAAGGAGUCCCAGUUCACCAGCGCGUCGACGCUGGACGACCGGGCCUGCCUCGUCCCUCAUGGACUCCAGAUUCAGGAGACACGGGAUGGCAUGGCUUGCACCAUAGGGGGCAAAGGGAGGGAGGAGGGAGGUAGGAGUAUGGAGGAGAAUGACCGGUUCUCCGACAUCGGACCGUCGACCGGUCACCAUCGAAGUCGUCGGACCAUCGACCGACAACCGCCACAGGAUGAGGGGGCAGAGGGAAGAGGGAGGAGGGAGAACGGAGUGAGCCGCGGAAGCAGGGCGGAAGCGGCGGCGACGGCAGCCGGCGACCGGCUGGCCAACCCUAAGCUCCCGAGUCGCACAGGUCGAGCAAGACGCGACCGUUUGGUCCAUUUCCCUUGAUGCUGUGAGAAAAAAAGAGACCCUUGAUGCUGUGAGAAAAAAAGAGCGAAGGGGAGAGGAGGAAGGAGUCCCAGUUCACCAGCACCAACGCUGGCGUCGCUGGACGGUCGGGCCUGCCCCGUCCCUCAUGGACCCCAGAUUCACGAGGCACGGGACGACCUGACCUGCACCAUAGGGGGCAAAGGGAGGGAGAAGGGAGGAUGGAGGUAGGAGUAUGGAGGAGAAUGACCGGUUCUCCGACAUCGGACCGUCAACCGGUCAGCGUCGAAGUCGUCGGACCAUCGGCCGGCCACCACCACGGGGUGAGGGGGAAGAGGGAGGAGGGUGAACGAAGUGAGCCGCGGAAGCACGGGCAGAAGUGGCAGCGGUCGGCGGGUGGCGGCGGCAGCCAGCGGCCGGCUGGCAAACCCUAGGCUCCCGAGUCGCACAGAUCGAGCAAGACGCGAGCGUUUGGUCCAUUUCCUGUGAUGCUAUGAGAAAAAAAAGAGCGAAGGGGAAUGUCUUGGGAAUGGCAUGAUGAGUAAAUACAUUGUAGUUUGAAGGGGACAUCUAAAAACAACAUGAUGAAGUUAGAGGUGCACCGGUUGCGAGAAAUACACUACAAAAAAGUUGUAACUUUUGAAGAAGCAACUUCACAAUUUCAUCCUUUGGUUAGCUUAUAGCUUCCAAAAGCUAAAAGCCAGCUUCAAAAGCUCAACCAAACACAACCUUAAACUUACGCAGCAGUAUUAAAAAUCAGAUUUAAAUUUGACUGAUGCCUAUCAAAACGUCUGAUAUUUUGAUACGGAGGUGAUAGUUUAAUUUGCUGUUUUUCUUCCUUGAGCUAUUAUUCGACUCUGAACCAGUGAAAUGGUAGAUAUCAAUCGUGUAAGAAAUAUCAUAUGUAUUUCUGAACAUUUUAGUGUGCAUGUUUCUAAGUUUUUGUUUUCUGAGAAGUAGCGUGUUUCGAAGCGGGGGUCUCGUAUAAUUAGCAAAAGAGGCCUGCCAGUUUUUGUUGUUAUUGAGGAAAACAGGCCUGCACAGCUGGGAGCUCUUACUUUGGUAAGGUUUUUUUUCUUUACCUUUUUUUUUUUGAGCGAUUUUUUUUUCUUUAGCUGGCCAUGGUAGACCAGGCCAACUAGGCCACGUCGGGCAUUUGCGGGGUCAGGCCCAGUUUUCAGGCCCGAUGGCCAGGUCAGGCGCCUGGGUUUUCAGUAUCAGGAUUUUUUCGCCGCUCACGUCAGUGAGAACAGCUUCCAAUUUGUUCUCUCUUACCGAGUUGAUUCUUCAGCUAAGGAUGGAUAAUGACUCCAAACAGGAAGCGAAGCAACGUCAUACGUUCGAUCCGCCGAACGCAAACUUGGCUGGAUGUGGCGUUUUUCUACGAUUGCUAGCUGCUAGUCCGCUCCCCCCGUCUAUGUCCUCAUGCACUUUUCAUCCUUUGUCCCUCUCUCUGUCUCUUAGCAUCCAAGUAAAAUCAUACUUUCUCUCUGUUCUUAAAUAGUACUUGUUAUUGAAAAGAACUAGACUAGAUUUCUCCAACGACAAGUACUGCGAUACAGAGCGAGUACUUAUGUCAGUUUUUUCUUAGUAUACUUAUGUGGUAAGUUUUUCUUUUUACCAAGACAUGAUAAUCCUGGAUUGCUGACACAGAAUCAUUCAACAGCUAAUCCCAACGUAUAGUGGCGUGCUUCGUUGGAAUUAAUGCCGUGGAACGUGGAUCAACAAGCAUGUGAUGGAGAGUUCAUUCGUUGGAGCUUCUUCCCCCCUUUAAACAAAAGGGAGACGCGGGUGGGAGAAUCUCUGCUGCGAUGAUGCUGUGAUGGAGAGUUAUUACCUGUAGGUGUGUUUCCUAACUCGUAGGAUAAGAUAGUUAAUCGUCCUUCGUGGUGCUAAACGGACGAGGACGCGAAUCUACCCACCAUCGAUCCGAUCCAUCGGAUCGGUUCCCAGCUCCUGGAAAUGAACCGGAGAAGCCAAGGAUUCGCUUUGAGCAGGAGGAGUAUACUCAUUUCGCUUUUUCCUACGUGGAUGGGUGGAUGGAUCGGUCAGUCGCGUUGGCUCGAUCUUCUCAUCAUGCCAAUAAUUUGCUUGUCUGGUUGUAGGCAGAUUCCCCUCCCAAAAAUAUCACGACCGGGCAGGGCCCGACGGCGACAGGGCGCGAAUACGGUGCAGGGAUAGAGACCCAAUUCAAGACAUCGCACUCGGGACAGCGUACGCGACCCGGCCCGGCGCGCAAAUUUCCCGGGGAUUGGUGGAUCCGCCCGCCUGCAUCUGCUCCGCCGGCCCGCGCCAGGCACCAAAUUUUACUACCAAGCCGGCCGUGGCCGGCAAGGAUGGCGCGGCACAGCACGCACACCGCGGGUGGAUCCGCGUGGCGAGGCCGGCAUGUGGCGGCCUCGUGCGCUUCCCCCCAACCACCACCAUCCCGCGCCACUUGCCCAGUUCGCCGCCACUUGCCGCCAGCCUCUGCGCCGGGGGCCGAGGCAUGCUGCGCCCACCAUGGCGUGGCCGUGCGAUGCGUUGCAACCUACUCAACCACGAUGGGCGCGACGUGUCUAUCUGCGCUGCGCUGCGCGUCACGGAUGACGAGGAGAAGGCCUGAAAAUGCCAACCUUUGGCUGCUUUUCGCCGGAAUCAUAUGUAUCGUGACCGGAACUGCUCCCGGAGUGGCGCCUUGGACACGGCGAGCGCGACGGAACCGAGGGGGGUAAAAAUAAGAGGAAAAAGCCACCCGCACUUUGAACAGCGAAAUCCUUUUGAUCUGAUCCAAAGCUAUGUACUACACCUCCAAAUUACUCCGGGGUAAAACUACGGCCGGAGAACGGGAAAAGAAGAAGAAAGGGGGAAAAACGGGAUCGGACGGGGGGUGGCGCGACGGUGGUCAGGAGCAGGGCGCGGUGGCCGGCAGGGCGAGCUCGCGCCGGCGGCCGAACACGAUGGCGCACUCCGGGAGCUCGCCGAGCCCCGCGAAGAGCGCGUCCUCCCCCUGCAGCUCCCGCUCCCAGUCCUCCGGCGGCGCCACGUCGAACGCCGGCACGUACAGCGCCGUCCGGGGCCACGUCGGGUACUGCUCGAACCACCCGAAGUCGAAGCUCUCCUCCUCCUCCUCGGCCGCCGCGGUCACCGGCGUGAUCGCCGCGGCGUCGGCCAGACCGAUGACAGGCUUCUGCUCAUGCUCCUCUUCCUGCCCUUGCUCCGGCGCUUCGGGCCCGUGCUCCGGCUGGCAGUCGACCGGCGUGCCGGGCUCGGGCUUGGGGUCCACCAGCCGGUGGGAGGAGGACUUGGUCGGGUGGCAGCCGGCCUUGGGCGCCGGCCACGGGUGGUUGUGAUCGUAGGAGUAGGUGACGAGCAGCACGGUGGGGUCGGUGCGGCUGCGCUCCACCUGCUUCCUCGCCGGGCACCCCUUGGAGCUGCUGCAGCGGUAGUACCCCCUGAACACAAGACGCGACGGCAAUCCACAGGAAUCAGACGAGCCUACUGCUUACUCAGUAGAGUGGUAGUAACUGACGAUUUAAUUACCAGCCUGUCCUGCUGCAUGCAAGGGCAGGCUGUAGUAGUAUCUAUGUAUGGUUGGUGGGCGUACUUACCGCGGGUAGGGGGAUCCCUUGAUGGGCUUCUGGCCGUACUUGCGCCACGCCCACGAGUCCGGCGGCGGCGGGCCCUCGCCGUUGGUCUUGGCCCGCUCGCCGCACUCGGCAAUCGGCACCGACACCACCCUCUUCUCCACAGAUCUCCGGCUGCAAUCAACCAAUCGCAAAACAGACAUACAGUACUCAAAUCAAUCCUCCGCCCGCUGAUUCGAGAUUCGGCUGGUUCCAUGGAUGGAUGGAUGGAGAUGUGCGUGUAUGUAUGUACCUGCGCUUUGGCGGCGGGAGCGGGGACGACGGCGAGGGGUGGUCGCGCUUGCUCUGGCCUCCGCCGGGCGACUCGGCGUCGGCGGGCGGCUGCUCGUCGACGGAGUCCGCCCGCGGCGAGUCCGUGCCGGUGCUGCAGUCCGACAUCGAUGGCUCAGUCCUGCCGCCUAGGUAUCCACGCCCGGCCCCGGCGGAUUCGGAUACGGACGGACGGAGGUGUCUGUGUAUCUAGCCCCUGGGCGCCUAACAGAAGUCCCGGCCCGGCGGCUGGCUGGCUGGCUCCGGAUAAAAAGCUCAGAGCGAAACCAACCCCCACUUUCUUUCCGAAAGCGUAUAUAUCUGUGGGCUGGGCUUUGAUGAUGAUCACUGCCCACCGCAACGAUGCGUACUACUACUAGUACCAGGCAGGACGAGGGAGGGAGGGAGGGGCGGAGGGGAGUAUAGUAGUACUGGUGGUAGCCUGGUACAGGGUCGAGUGAUGGAUGGAUGGAUGGGGGGAUGGUGGCGAGCAAAUGGGAACGGAUGGGUGCAGCUUUCAAUGAUCCGCCCCGCCCUGGCCCUGCUACGUGCGCGUUUGUAUAUGUGCGUGCGUAUGCGCUGGUGGACGGACGCGCUUUUUCUUUUGUUUAUGCGCACGAUGUUGCCAUCCAUCCGGGCCGGGCGGGUGCGCGUACUACUACUGUAUCUGUAUCUGUACGCAUGCAUGAAUGGGCUGUGCGCGCAGCGUUUUCGCAUGUUUGUUUAUCGUUUCUCCUCCGGCCCGGUUCUGGAUUGGAUCGCGCUCUCGCUCUCCCUCGCUGUUGCGUGUGGGAGGAGGGCCGGAGCGAGGAGGGCGACGUUUUGGGGCCGGGGGCGCGAUUAAACUAGCGGAGGCUGCGAUGGCGACUCCCUCCCUAACCGAUCUGGCCAAUCAUGUCCGUCGCCUUGCCUCCCUCCCUAUGCACACACAUGACAUGGCACGCCUUUUGUUUUGUGCAUGUGCGGAGCCGGAGCGCCUGCCUGAUCCAGCGAGCCGCCCGUGAUCAUGCACGUAGCAGGUGUCGAGUUCCGCAGGGUGUGUUUGGUUGAAGAACGAGGUGAAACGUGAUGGAAUGAUUCCAUGACAUUUCAUUUCAUCAGGUUGCAUUCCUAUGUUUGGUUGAAACAAUAGAUGGAACGGGCCGGCCACCGCCGUCGCACCUGCUCGGUCCGUCGCCGCCGCCACACCUGCUCCUCGAGCCGCCGCAGAGGGAGAGGGAGAGGGCGGUGUCGGAGAGGAAGAGGGAGAGGGCGGCGUCGGAGAGGUGGCGCCGGAGAUGGAAAGGGAGAGGGCGGCGCACCUGCUCGGGCCGCCGCGCACCUGCUCCUCGAGCCGCCGCAAAGGGAGAGGGAGAGGGCGGCGCCGGAGAGGGAGAGGGAGAGGGCGGCGCCGGAGAGGUGGCGCCGGAGAUGGAAAGGGAGAGGGCGGUGUCAGAGAGGGAGAGGGAGCCGCACCUGCUCGGUUCCGCGUGGUUCCUCUGAUUUGAAGGUACCAGUGUAUUCCAGAUCUUGGGGGAAUAUGCCGUUCCGGAGAAUCAGUUGGUUCCGAUUCCUCUACCCAACUAAAUACGAGAACGACCUUCGGAAACGGAAUGGACCUGUUACAUUCCACUUGAUGACAGUAACCAAACACACCCUAAAUUCGGUAGCAAUCCAACUGGAGCAUCAGAUUCUAAUUCGACGGCCCGGAUGCGCCGAUGCACGCCGCUCCUAUAGCGCACGCAGAGGGUUCUGCUGUAUCGAUCAUACUCCAUGCGCCAUGCAAAUGGCAAAUGCUCUAGUCGAUACACUAUUUUUGCAAGUACGCCUCCAACCGUGCGCGCGAAAACCGAUUACUGUCGUAGCACGUAUGCAGGUACUCCUACGUACGUAGUUGGCCGAAGGUGGCGAGAUCCGUCCAUCAGAUCAGAUGGUGCCAAGGUUCAUGUUCAUCCAUCCAUCAAUUAAUGAUCCAUGUGAUUCACUGGGAGACUGCACUGCGGGGGGUAUUUGUUAAUCCCCUGUUACACUGCGCUGCACUGUCAGUACUUCACGGUAUCUUUGCACGGACUCCGUCUGACAAAGAAAGCUUGUUAAUUUUUUGGCGUGGGUAUUGUAAUGCUGCUUUGGUUGUACUACAACUAGAACUAACUAGUAUUGCAGUACAACUUAUACCAAAGAAAAAAUCAGUGUACGACAGGAGAUAGGUGUAAGAUAAUACUACUGUGCUACUGGGAAGUGGUCCCGGUGUUCAGCUCGAUCGAGCAGGAGCUGGGCUUCCCAUGCCAGCGAAAUGCGUUCCCACGUGCACCUUUUUUUUCUUCUCUCGGCGGUACCAAUACCACUCUAUGUGAUCUUGACGUGCUCCAACUCAAGUAUGUUCCCUCUCGUCCAUAUGAUGGCAUCUAGAAGCCCUUAUUUUGCCUGUUUCUUCUCAUUUUCAGGCUUCCCGGUCCUGAGUCCUGACCCCGACCAUAUAAUGCUCUUUUCGUGCCUUUAACCGAAAUGUGCCCUUUUCUUGUUUCAUCCGUGAUCGUUCUUUUUCCAGAUUCCGACUUCGCUCGACGAUGUGUUUUUUUUCUUGAUGAAAAAAUUGCUCCCUGCCAUCCAGAAAAACAACGCCAUUUUUCUUUGACCAAAGAGUGUAUUACUCCUCGAAAUAAGCAAAUCCAACCUUUUUGCGACAAGUCUAGUACUCGUGUUUACAGUUUUGGGACAAAAUGAGCUAUGUUGAAUUCUGAGUGAAAAAACAAAAGUGCAGCUACGAAAAACAAACAAUGGUAUUCAUAUAGUGUUGAUUAUGUUGUAUUCCCUCCGUUCCUAAAUAUAAGACCUUGUAGAGAUUUCAUUAUAGACUACAUACGGAGCAAAAUGAGUGAAUUUACACUUUAAAAUAUGUCUAUAUACAUCCGUAUGUAGUCCAUAGUGCAAUCUCUACAAGGUCUUAUAUUUAGGAACGGAGGGAGUAUUUUGUUUGAAAUGCGGUGUAAAUCGUUUUGUCCCGAAACUUCUAAUAUGAAUAUGAUUUAGACCAUGUGUUUGGCCACAAAGUUUUGAAAAUAUUUAAUUAAUUUUAUAAAAAAAUAUCAAUUUAGAUGCGCCUAGACCCAAGUUUUACGUGUAUUUUUGGUAAUAAUGUCCUUCAAUCUACCAGCUUUUGUUCUAAUGAACUUGAAGGACCUGAACCAAUCCACGUCACGGUUCUACUCUCUAAUCUAGCUAAGUUGCCAAAAGAUCACUAACAUUAUUUUAAAUUCGCCUUAAAUGAGUAGUUCAACUUUCACAAAGAGAGGGAAUGUGUUUAAUUUCGUGGACGAGGGAAGAGUAUACCGAUCUAUCCAGAUCCCGUGCGUGGACCUACUCUACUCCAAUGAGUGAGUCCAUCUCAACUACAAUAGAAGAAUCACACCUGUGUAAUGCUAAAGACAAUAAAAUUGUGCACAAAUUUUAAAAACAUAAUUUUUUUCCGAAUUUUGAACAAAUUGUGAACAUUUUUUAGAACUACUAAAAAAUCUAAAUAUCAACACUUUUUAAAUUUUGCAAACAUUUUGCGACAAACGGGAACGUUUUUUAAAAUUUCGAAACAUUUUUAUAAAAUUUCCAGAACAUGUUUUCAAAUUCCGUAACAUUAUUUUGAACUCCAGAACAUUUUUUCAAACUCCGAAACAUUUUUUCAAAAUCGACAACAUUUUUUAAACAGAAACAGGAAAAAAAACACGGAAUCUUCUAGAAAGUUUCCAAAACCGGCAAAACCCGGCUGGAAACCUCUAGAAGGUUCCCAAAACUGGGAUCGGUCAAAGUGCUAACGGGCUAGCCCAAACCCCGUCGCUCGCUCGCACCUCGUGUGCGUUUGCCCGCCUAUUUGACGCAAAGAGUGUCAAAUAGGGUUUUCCCUUCCGGACUCCUCCGAAACCCUGUGGAGCCUUCCACAACCUUGCAAAAGCUUCCCAAUACAAUACGGAUGUCGUGGGUAUAAGUCUGACAGUAGAAGUACGGGGUACGAAAGUAUAUGGGCAGAGCCUUAGCUACGGCGAGGAUGUAUGAGUUCAGGCCCCUCUACGGUGGAGGUAAAAGUCCUACGUCUUAGUGCUCUUGGGAGCUUUGUGUCGAGUGUAUUAAGGGAUUACAGCAAGUGUCAACCCCUGUACCAGUGGCGAAGGACGGCUUAUAUAGAGUGCGCUGCCCUUCAUAAUGGUCCGGUGGACAGGGGUGGAGUAGUGGCGAGUAAACGUUGGCGUUAGUGGUAACGUAAGCCUUAAAUGCUAGUUAUGGUGUAUGAAAACGUAUGACCGUUGCCCUCCUCGGAGGUUACGAUGUACAGAGUGGAUUCCAGUCGGUACGUUAGAUAUGCUCCGAGUGGAUCGUCGCCGACUCGAUGAUGGGGAUGUCCUUAGUUCAGUCGGAACUGUCUAAGGGCCUUGUCCCUUAUGAAGGGUAGUCCUUGGGUAGGACCCAUAGGGCAGACCUAUGACCCUACCCUGGGACUAUAACCCCAUCAUUAGUGCCCGAAUGGAUCGGGGCUGGAACGAUGAAGUGAUGUCCGGAGUUUGGAGCCGACUGGCAUUGAGGUGAUCUUUAGCGUUGUCUGCCUCGAUCCAUUUUAUCUUUGUGGCUAGUGAUCCGAGUGAAUAUGCAAGCGAAACUAACCGUGAGGGACCGAUUGCUUCCGCGGAAUCUUUCGACGUGACCAGUCAUACUGACAGCGCCGGAUUUUCUGGGAUUCUCAAAUUUCGGUUGCCACGCGCUCUGCGGGGUUGACGUCAUCGCCAUCGAGUAGAUUUCGCCUCCUCGAUUACCGCGCCGCGAUCUUCUCCACUAAUCUUUCCGCAGCCGGUUGGGAGGAUAAGAUCUUGGGCCCACUUGUAAGUGACUCGGUCGGAGGCCUAUUAAAGCCUUCCCGGCGGACCUUCCUGUCGCGUUGCUCGUCUUCCUCCCAUGGAUCUCCCUCCCCAAACUCCCUGCACAUCUCUAGCCACCUCCUUCCCCUCCUCCUCCGCGGAUCCGUCGCCCUCGCCAUGACGAAGGGGCAGACCAGCAAGCUCGAGGUGAAGAAGAAGAAGAAGGGGACGACCUCCACUCAGCGGCGGCAGCGAGCGUUGCCGGUGGGCUGGAUCCAGGGGGACUUCCUCCCCUCCACGGUGAGGGAGACCGACGUGCUGGAGCUGGUGGAGCACGGCAUGGUCGUCAAUAAGUCUUGGAGGCUGCCGGAAGGCGAGAUGGAGCCGGCGCCGAAGGAGGGGGAGCGCGUUCUGCUGCUCAGCCACGUGGCCAGAGGUUUCUCCCUGCCUCCCCAUCCUUUCUUCCGAGGUAUCAUGAAUUACUUCGGGGUGCAGCUCCAUCACUUUCCGCCGAAUGCGAUAGCUCAUCUUUCCGCAUUCAUCACCCUCUGCGAGUGCUUCAUAGGAUGUCCUCCCCACUGGGGUCUCUUCAAAUAUGUUUUCUCCGCUAGAUCUCAAACGGUUAAGAAGCUUAGCCAGUCCGAUGAUAAGACACACAUCCUCCAGCUCUGCGGGGGUUUAGGAUUUGAGAAGAAAACGAAAAUUAGUUAUCCCUCCCUUCAGCUAUCCGAGUCAGUUAGGAACUGGCAAUCGUCCUGGUUCUAUUGCCAGGACAUUGCCUGCCCGAAUGCUUCGAGUGGAUUACCACCCUUCAGUUUAGACCGUCCGGGCCCUCCCAGGAAGCUAGCGCUCUCUAAGGGAGAAAAAACCCAGAUCCAGCCUUUGAUCGACGCGCUGAUAGCCGUCGUCCGGAAGGGAGUCACCGGCAUGGACCUGUUGGAGACUUUUCUGGGUCGACGCAUCCAGCCGCUCCAGGCCCGAGACCACACAAUGUGGCAUUACACGGGGCCUUCGGAUACCACUCGGUCCCAUCCUGAAGACGUGAGCGAGGAGACCCUGGGUGCGUGGGUCCGCAGCAUCACGGGCACAUGUGAUAACCCCGUGGGAGCUCGGCGGGUGAAGGCCUUCCGCGCCCAAAAUCCUCCUCCGAAUGAGGUGAGCACACGUUGUCGAGUGCUUUUAACCUUCUGAGUUUUAUUGCUUUUCUUGUCUCGCUGACUGACGUUGCCGACUGUGUUUUGUGCAGGAGUGGACGAACUGGCAUUCUGUAGUCUCAAAUGGGAAUCCGGUCGAGGAAGAAGAAGGCAACAUGGAGGGUAGCGCGGGUAGUGCCGAGUACGUCUCUGACAGUAGGGAGACGGAGGAGGAAACAGAAGAGGAGGAGGAGGAGAGUGAAGAGCAGAGCUCGUCACCCUCACCACCAGAACACCGAACCAAGCACCGUCAUGACCCCGUUGUUCCGCCGGCUCCUCCCGUGGCCCCGAGUGCUCAGAGUGUGAAGAGAACCAGGGAUUCUUCUGCCGAGCCCGUGGAUCAGCCGUCCAAGGUGGCUAAACCCAGCGGGUCUAAACCUCGGAAUGCUUUGCCCCGGAUGAGGAUCAUUGUUUCGGUCGCCUCAGCGUAAGUAUCUUUGCUCUUCCAUCUUCCUUCAGUAUCCGAUUGGACUCUUCUUUUUGGGAAUUCAUGUUUACCCGUCGAAUGGAUUUCACUCAACAAAGCUGCUACCUCCGCCACCUCUCUGCCGCGUAAGGGUGACGAUCCCAUGGACACUGAUAACGCCGCCACGUCCCAGCAAGGUACGUUGUCACGACUCCGAGAGUUGUAUUACCGUUUCGCAAGUGAUGUCUUUGAUCUUGAUCUUUUUCUGUAUUUUUAUUUUGUUCAGUCGGGCUUCCUUCGGAGGUGAUCCAUCUGGACGACGACGACCAAAGGAGGUCGGAACCAGCUUUCGCACCUGUCCUUGGGGUUAUCCAACCUACUGCCAACCCCGCCAUGAGCGUGCCGCCGACUGAGACGGUGGUCUUCACGGCGGAACCGACUGGAGCAGAGCUCGGGAUGCCCAGGGAGCUUAGGAUAUCUAGGGCGCCUUCUGCCACGCCGGGUCCGUUGACUGUUCAAUAUGAUGCCCGACGCCUCCCGGAAGAUCAAGUAGGAGCUGCCAAGGACGCCAUGGUACAAGUGGAGCUGAUGGUGGGCGAAGCCAAGGGAGCAUAUGACUCCGUUGCGUCCCUAUACAAGAAGAGCUUGGAGCUUCGGGAUGAUAUCCGAGUAAGUGCGCUAGUAAGUGUUUACAUUUCUCUUGGUGCCCACUGGGGGUUUUGGCGAGAUACUCGGAUACAGUAGGUUAAUUUUCCAGUGGGUUCACUCGGAGUGAACCCAGUGGGUGUAGUCCCCAAGACUUCUGCCGAGUGCUUGCACCAGCAGUUGUCUUUAUAUGUAUUUUCCAUAAUCUCUACAGAUCAGAGUUGAUCUGCCCGAAUGGUACUAGUGGGGGCACGCCGAGUGCACCCACUGGGUGUAGUCCCCGAGAGUAGUGUUACUCUGAUCGAGUAAUAGUAAUCUCAUAGUGUUGUUGGUUUGCUAUGGAGCUCAAUGGGACCGACCUGUUCGAGCUUCAUGCCAGUGGGGUCACUCUAAGUGAACCCACUGGGUGUAGUCCCCGAGACCACUGUCGAUUGCUUGCAUCGGCAGGGGUCUGAAGAAUCUGUCGAAACUUUUUCCUUGUUGAACCUGGCUGAUCCUCCUUUUGUGUCUCUUUGACAGAAGACUUGUGAAAUGGGAUCGGCCUAUAAUGCUCUGAAGGCUAAGAAGACUCAACUUGCUGCCGACUUGGAGGUAGCUGCGAAUGAUCUGGCUGGCAGGAAGAAGGCUCUCGCUGAACGAGAAGUAUCUUUGGAGGAAUCUCGGGGGACUAACAAGGCACUGCUAGCCAAGGUAGAAAAAAUGAAGAAAGAGAGAUCUGAAUGGAUGGGCCUGUUGGAAUUAUGCCCUAGAGGCAAUAAUAAAUAUAGUUAUUAUUAUAAUUCCUGUAUCAUGAUAAUAGUUUAUUAUCNNNNNNNNNNNNNNNNNNNNNNNNNNNNNNNNNNNNNNNNNNNNNNNNNNNNNNNNNNNNNNNNNNNNNNNNNNNNNNNNNNNNNNNNNNNNNNNNNNNNNNNNNNNNNNNNNNNNNNNNNNNNNNNNNNNNNNNNNNNNNNNNNNNNNNNNNNNNNNNNNNNNNNNNNNNNNNNNNNNNNNNNNNNNNNNNNNNNNNNNNNNNNNNNNNNNNNNNNNNNNNNNNNNNNNNNNNNNNNNNNNNNNNNNNNNNNNNNNNNNNNNNNNNNNNNNNNNNNNNNNNNNNNNNNNNNNNNNNNNNNNNNNNNNNNNNNNNNNNNNNNNNNNNNNNNNNNNNNNNNNNNNNNNNNNNNNNNNNNNNNNNNNNNNNNNNNNNNNNNNNNNNNNNNNNNNNNNNNNNNNNNNNNNNNNNNNNNNNNNNNNNNNNNNNNNNNNNNNNNNNNNNNNNNNNNNNNNNNNNNNNNNNNNNNNNNNNNNNNNNNNNNNNNNNNNNGUUCUCUAACGCUUCUGCUGUACGGUCUACAAGGGUACAUAGAUCACUCAUCCCCUCUCGUAGAUGGACAUCACCAUGAUAGGUCUUCGUGCGCGUAGGAAAAUUUUUGUUUCCCAUGCGACGUUCCCCACCAGGGCCAGCUGAAGUUAAUGAACGCUCAGUGCAAAGCGCAGGAGAACUACGUCGGCGACUGGGCGAAGAAGAUGGUCGCACUGCUUGGUGGUAAGUUGCUUGCCGAGUGCUCUUUGACUUCGGAGUUCACUCCGCGCUUAUUUUCUCCCUGUCUUUUCUUUGCAGAUUUCUAUCGAGAUGCUGAAGCCGAAACCGCUGAAAUUGAACGGUCGCUUGGGCAACCGAAUGGUCCACUCGGUGAUGAAGCUAACCGGGACAUGUUCCGACUGAAUUCCCGCCUUAACAAGGUGGGUCCUUUCAUUGGUCGCCUGAGAGAAGUUGUCGGCCGAAUUGACAAAGAGUUGUGGCCUGAAGAUGACUCCCGGAAUGAGAUAGAGGGGUUGAUGACUCGACUGGAGGAUGUUCCAAGCAGAGUGCAGGCAUGGAAGAAGUCUGUCGCUCGGUGUGGCGCGGACGUGGCGCUGUCUCUGGUCCGAGUGCAUUGUAAGGAAGCCCGUGAAGACAAGCUGAAGACGUUGCAGGUCGCCAACACCAAGAAGCUUCGAUUUGAAGACUUCAUGGAGACCUUCCUCUACACGGGCACUCGGAUUGCGGAUGGAAUCGACCUCGACACCUUCGUGGAGCCUGCCAGCCUUGGCGAUGCUUGAUUGACUUUAUGCUGAACGCACAUUUACCUCGGUAUGCCGAGUGGAGUUUGUAUUAAACUUUGGCCACUGCCAUUGGCCGGUACAUUCGUGGCUCAGUGUGGAUAAACUUGAUUCACACCGAGCCAACUGAUCGUUGAACUCAAUUUGAAUUCGAACCGGAUCUUUUGCUCUUCUUUUGCUGAGUUUUUUUUUUUGACACGAGUUUUGCUCGUGGUUUUUGUUUAGGCGACUCAGCUAAGCCUCCGAGUGUAACUUGUGUGCCCACUCGGAGGAAGCUCUUUACUUAGGCAACUCUGGUUCGCAGCUAAGUCCUUGAGUGUGACUUGAAAUGCACACUCGGAGCAAGUUGUUUACUUAGGCGACUCUGAGUCACAGCUAAGUCCCCGAGUGUGACUUUGGGUGCACACUCGGAGUUAGUUUUUACUUAGGCGACUCUGGAUCGCAGCUAAGUCUCCGAGUGUGACUUUCGGUGCACACUCAGAGCAAGUUGUUUACUUAGGCGACUCUAGGUCGCAGCUAAGUCCCCGAGUGUGACUUUUGGUGCACACUCGGAGCGAGUUGUUUACUUAGGCGACUCUGGGCCGCAGCUAAGUCUCCGAGUGUGACUUUUGGUGCACACUCGGAGCAAGUUGUUUACUUAGGCGACUCUGGGUCGCAGCUAAGUCCCCGAGUGUGACUUUUGGUGCACACUUGGAGUUGGUUUUUUAGACCGUAGUCUGCAAACGCGGAAGAAUUUUGAAUCGGCAAGAAAUUAAUCCGCUUUGUAUUACUUCGAUGACAUUUAUUCUUUACAUUGUCUCUGUCGGCGGUUCUGUGUAGAAGCUCUUCAGUAGAUCUCCAUUCCAUGCUCGCCGCUCGUCCGUCUCCCUGUCGAGGUUGUAGAGUCGAUACGCUCCGUUGUUAUAGCACCUUAGAAAUGAUGAACGGUCCUUCCCAGACGGGAGCCAACUUGUGUGGUCUCUGUUGAUCCACUCGGAGCACCAGGUCGCCUGCUUGGAACGUGCGGCUCCUGACGUGCCGCGCAUGAAAUCGCCGCAGAUCUUGUUGAUAAAUUGUUGAACGGAUCAAUGCCAUCUCGCGCUCCUCUUCUAAAAGGUCUACUCCGUCUUGCUUGGCUUGCUCUGCUUCGGCUUCGGAGAAGAAUUCGACUCGUGGAGAGUUGUGAAGAAAGUCACUCGGAAGGACUGCCUCUGCUCCAUAAACGAGGAAAAACGAGGAUCGUCCUAUCGAUCUAUUCGGAGUUGUUCGGAGGCCCCACAGCACCGAAGGCAGCUCAGUGACCCAUGCGCCGGCGGCAUGCCCAACUUCCCACAGGAGUCGAGGCUUCAACCCUUGAAGAAUGAGUCCAUUCGCCCGCUCCGCUUGUCCAUUUGUUUGGGGGUGCGCAAUGGAUGCAAAAUCCACUCGGAUACCUUGGCCUGCGCAAAAACCUUUGAACUCGUCCGAGUUAAAAUUUGUGCCAUUGUCGGUGAUUAUGCUGUGUGGAACCCCGUAUCUGGCAAUGAUGUCUCUGAUAAAUUUGAUGGUCGUAAGGGCAUCAAGCUUCUUGAUUGGCUUGGCUUCAAUCCACUUGGUAAACUUGUCGACUGCUACCAGCAGAUGGGUGAAUCCUCCUUGGCCUGUUCUGAAUGGUCCGACUGUAUCUAAUCCCCACACGGCGAAUGGCCAAGAAAGGGGAAUUGUCUUCAGCGCGGACGUUGGCUUGUGGGACUGGUUGAAUAGAACUGACAACCUUCGCAAUGGUCGACUAUAUCUUUUGCCAUUUCAUUCGCCUGCAACCAGAAGAAACCAGCUCUGAAUGCUUUGGCGACGAUUGCCCUUGAGGAGGCAUGAUGGCCGCAGGUUCCCGAGUGAAUUUCUUCCAAAAUUAACCGACCCUCCUCAGGAGAGAUACACCGUUGAAGGACGCCUGAAACACUUUCUCUGUAUAACUGGUCAUCAACGACGGUGAAGGACUUCGAUCUGCGAACGAUCUGCCUAGCUUGGACCUUGUCUUCCGGCAACUCUUGCCUCAGGAUGUACGCAAUGAAUGGCACAGUCCAUUCGGGAAUGACAGCCAGAAUUUCCAUGAUCAGGUCAACCACAGCGGGAACCUCGACUUCAGUCUGAUCUGUUGAGCUCUUCGGUUGCACCGGUUCCUCUGUAAAAGAAUCUUCUUUUACCGAGGGGAGGUGUAGGUGCUCGAGGCAGACAUCACUCGGGACAGGUCUCCGUGUGGAUCCAAGUUUUGCCAAUUCAUCUGCUGCUUGGUUUUUUCAGUCGGGGAACAUGGUGAAGUUCCAGACCUUCGAACUUCUUUUCGAGCUUUCUUAUUGCGUUGCAGUAUGCAGUCAUGGUGGGGUUCCUUACAUCCCACUCCUUCAUUACUUGAUUAACCACUAGAUCUGAGUCGCCAUAGACCAUCAGGCAACGGACGCCGAGUGUGAUGGCCAUGCGCAACCCGUAAAGGAGAGCUUCGUACUCUGCUUCGUUGUUGGAAGAAUCAAAAUGGAUCUGCAACACAUACUUGAGUUUAUCACCUUUCGGGGAUAUGAGCACUACGCCGGCGCCGGACCCAUUCAACAUCUUGGACCCAUCGAAGAACAUGGUCCAAUGAGCCGAGUAGAUGUGAGUCGGUUGCUGUUGUUCUACCCAUUCUGCUAUGAAGUCAGCAAGAGCUUGAGACUUUAUAGCUUUCUUGGCUUUGAACUUGAUGUCGCAGUAUAGCAUCUCCAUUGCCCACUUUGCCACUCGGCCUGAUGCAUUCCGAUUGUGGAGAAUUUCCGACAACGGAGCAUCAAAUAUGACAGAUACCGAGUGGUCUUGGAAAUAAUGAGCCACCUUCUUUGCAGUCAUGUAGAUCCCAUAAAUAAGCUUCUGAUAAUGGGGAUACCUCUGCUUGGAAGGAGUCAGGACUUCAGAAACAUAAUAUACUGGCCGCUGAACCUUGUACGCUUUGCCUUCUUCUUCGCGUUCGACUGUCAGAACGGUGCUCACGACUUGAUUUGUAGCCGCGAUGUACAGAAGAAGGGGUUAUUUACUGAGCGGGACAGUAAGAACUGGCUGGGUGGAAAGCAGGGCUUUGAGGUCGUCGAAUGCGGUUUGGGCUUCGUCUGUCCACUCGAAGGUGUCCGACUUCUUCAUGAGUCGGUACAGAGGUAACGCCUUCUCGCCGAGUCGAGCGAUAAACCUGGUCAGAGCCGCUAGGCAACCUGUGAGCUUUUUUACGUCAUGUACUCUUACCGGUCGCUCCAUUCAAACGAUGGUCCUGAUCUUUUCGGGGUUGACAUCGAUCCCUCGUUCGGAAACGAAGAAACCGAGUAACUUCCCGCUCGGAAUGCCGAAUGAACACUUGGCUGGGUUGAGCUUGAUAUCGUACCUACGUAGGUUGGCGAAUGUUUCUGCCAAGUCAGUCAGCAGGUCGGAACCUUUGCGUGACUUGACUACGAUAUCGUCCAUAUAUGCCUCCACAUUUCGACCAAUCUGGUCUAGGAGGCAUUUUUGGAUCAUUCGCAUAAAAGUUGCUCCUGCAUUUUUCAAACCGAAUGGCAUAAUGAUGUAACACAAGCACCCGAAUGGGGUGAUGAAAGAUGUUUUUAAUUCAUCUGGACCAUACAGACGGAUCUGAUGAUAGCCCGAAUAGGCGUCAAGGAAGGAUAAGCGCACGCAACCCGUAGUCGAAUCAACGAUUUGAUCAAUGCGGGGGAGCGGGAAGUGGUCUUUCGGACAGACCUUAUUAAGGUGCUUGAAAUCGAUGCACAUACGGAGAGACUUGUCCUUCUUGGGCACCAUGACAACAUUAGCGAGCCACUCGGAGUGGUGUACCUCGCGAAUGAAGUUGGCUGCCAGAAGUUUAGCUACCUCCUCUCCGAUUGCUUUUCUCUUAUGCGCGGCGCACCGACGCAGGCGUUCUCGGACGGGCCGAGCGGCAGGAUCCACAUGCAGUUGGUGCUUAGCCAACUCCUGGGUACACCUGGCAUGUCAGCAGGCUUCCAUGCAAAAAUGUCCCAGUUCUCACAGAGGAAUUGGAUGAGCUCGGCUUCCUAUUUUGGAUCAAGGGUGGUGGAGAUGUUUGUUGGGGCGGCGGUGGCAUCCGUCGGGUGGACGCUUACUUUCUUCGUGUCUCCCGCCUACUGGAAUGCGGACUCGGAAGCUGGCUUCUUUGAACGCAUCAGGUCGGCGGGGUCGGCAAUCUUCUUGUACUCAUCCAACUCGAGUACAGCCAUCUGAUGGUCUGCAAGUCUCGACCCCUGCUGCAGACACUCCUCGGCCACUGCCGAUUGCCUGUGACUGUAAUCACGCCUUUGGGACCAGGCAUCUUCAGCUUCAAAUAUAUGUAACAUGGAUGGGCCAUGAAACGUACGUAUGCCGGACGACCCAGAAUGGCAUGGUAUGCACUCUGGAAGUCUACCACCUCGAAUGUUAACUUCUCUUUGUGGAAGUUCUUGUCAGAGCCGAAAAUGACAUCCAACGCAAUCUGGCCGAGUGAUUUGGCCUUUCUUCAUGGGACGACUCCAUGGAAUUGCAUACUGCUCUAGCUAAGUCUGGACAUCGGAAUGCCCAUUCCCUUGAGUGUCGGCGUACAUGAUAUUCAAGCCGCUGCCGCCAUCCAUGAGGACUUUGCGCAGCCUAACCCCUUCCACCACC
rnacentral:lncRNA from 1 species